GACGAACGCUGGCGGCGUGCUUAACACAUGCAAGUCGAACGCUGAAGCACCAGCUUGCUGGUGUGGAUGAGUGGCGAACGGGUGAGUAAUACGUGAGUAACCUGCCCUUGACUCUGGGAUAAGCCCUGGAAACUGGGUCUAAUACUGGAUGCUACAUGUCACCGCAUGGUGGUGUGUGGAAAGGGUUUACUGGUCUUGGAUGGGCUCACGGCCUAUCAGCUUGUUGUUGAGGUAAUGGCUCACCAAGUCGACGACGGGUAGCCGGCCUGAGAGGGUGACCGGCCACAAUGGGACUGAGACACGGCCCAGACUCCGACGGGAGGCAGCAGUGGGGAAUAUUGCACAAUGGGCGAAAGCCUGAUGCAGCGGCGCCGCGGGAGGGAUGACGGCCUUCGGGUUGUAAACCUCUUUCAGCAGGGAAGAAGCAACAAGUGACGGUACCUGCAGAAGAAGCGCCGGCUAACUACGUG
rnacentral:rRNA from 1 species